rnacentral:misc_RNA from 1 species
GAAAUGCGAUAAGUAAUGUGAAUUGCAGAAUUCAGUGAAUCAUCGAAUCUUUGAACGCACCUUGCGCUCCUUGGUAUUCCUUGGAGCAUGCCUGUUUGAGUAUCAUGAAAUCUUCAAAGUAAAUCUUUUGUUAACUCAAUUGGCUUCUACUUAGGUAUUGGAGGUCUUUGCAGCUUCACACCUGCUCCUCUUUGUUCAUUAGCUGGAUCUCAGUGUUAUGCUUGGUUCCACUCGGCGUGAUAAGUUAUCUAUCGCUGAGGACACUGUAAAAGGUGGCCAAGGUAAAUGCAGAUGAACCGCUUCUAAUAGUCCAUUGACUUGGACAAUACUUUUAUGAUCUGAUCUCAAAUCAGGUAGGACUACCCGCUGAACUUAAGC